rnacentral:rRNA from 1 species
GACGAACGCUGGCGGCGUGCUUAACACAUGCAAGUCGAACGGAAGGGCCCUGCUUUUGUGCGGUGCUCGAGUGGCGAACGGGGGAGUAACACGUGAGUAACCUGCCCUUGACUUUGGGAUAACUUCAGGAAACUGGGGCUAAUACCGGAUAGGAUCUCCUGCUGCAUGGUGGGGGUUGGAUAGUUUCGGCGGUUGGGGAUGGACUCGCGGCUUAUCGGCUUGUUCGUUGGGUAGUGGCUUACCAAGGCCUUGACGGGUAGCCGGCCUGGGCGGGUGAGCUGACACAUUGGGACUGAGAUACGGCCCAGACUCGUAUGGGAGGCAGCGGUGGAGAAUAUUGCACAAUGGGCGGGAGCCUGAUGCAGACACGCCGCGUGCGGGAAGACGUCCUUCGGGUUGUAAACCGCUUUCGCUUGUGACGAAGCGUGAGUGACGGUACCGGGUAAAGAAGCACCGGCUAACUACGUG